rnacentral:lncRNA from 1 species
GGUUGCCAGACUGAAAACUACGUGAGUGAAGGAUGGGGUGGGCUCUGCUGGCAUAGCAGGAAUUCCAGGUUGAUUUUCUCUCGUGAGGGAAGCAGGAACUAAGAAGUCAAGCCUCCUGAUUAGAUCAUCCUACAUCAGACAAUAACUUAGGACCAGAUGUUGUGCAUAGGAAAUGUCCAUGUGACAGGGGGCUAAACCGUGCAGACCUGAAAAUGCAGCCUUAAGAAUAUUUAGAACUUUGGCCUGGGUGCAGAAGGGCUGUGGAAGAAUUCUAACCAGUGCUCAGAUCACUCUGGCAGCUCUGUGGACAAUCCACGGAGGCUGGCAUCGGCAAGCUGGUAAGUAGUAGCAAGCAGCUGGUGUUUGGGGGACUUGGCUGCAAAAACCCUGGCCCCUUAAGGCUGCUGUCUGACAUGGAGCGCUGUUCCCCAGCUUCUGGGCAUGGAUUCAGGUGGGAGCCGUUGCCCAUGUGAUGCUUGCUUCUGCAACCUGCACAUCAUUCUUGUGUUGUUUCUGGAGCCUGUGCCUGGAUCUAGUCAUCCAGGAUGACCUCUGGAGGAUUUUGAAGGGUGUUUUGCUCUCCUUUUCUCCCCUUCUGGAACUCUGUGUGCCUUUUUCCUUUCAUCAGGCUCCCCUUUCUGUUUUGUACACAUCCAUUCUCUACUGUCAGAGACAGGGCUGUGUGUAGAUUGGUAUGGAAGAAAGAACAUGGGUUUGCUUGGAAAUCAGACCAUAAAGUCACUUUAGCUAAGUGCCUUGCAGACAUUUCCAAUCUCCCAAACUUCUGGUUGUUUUUUGUUUGUUUGUUUUACAUAAAGAGAAAUCACUAUAACCACCGUUCAUAGGUUGCAUUCCAUGGAAAAAGACUCAGAAAUUCUGAGAUUUGUAGACAAGCAGAUUCUUGAAAAGUGUCCUUACACCUCAAGAGGAUAAACAGUGAGGGAAGCAGGAUGGGGCAGAGGGAGAAGUUGGACAGUGAUACAGUGUGAGAGGGGCCUCGAU